ACAACGGAGAGUUUGAUCCUGGCUCAGGAUGAACGCUAGCGGCAGGCCUAACACAUGCAAGUCGAACGGUAACAGAUCUCGCUUGCGAGAUGCUGACGAGUGGCGCACGGGUGCGUAACGCGUAUGCAAUCUACCUUUAACUGAGGAAUAGCCCAGAGAAAUUUGGAUUAAUACCUCAUAGUAUUAUUUAUAGGCAUCUAUUUAUAAUUAAAACUCCGGUGGUUAAAGAUGAGCAUGCGUCCUAUUAGCUAGUUGGUAAGGUAAAAGCUUACCAAGGCUACGAUAGGUAGGGGGCCUGAGAGGGUGACCCCCCACACUGGUACUGAGACACGGACCAGACUCCUACGGGAGGCAGCAGUGAGGAAUAUUGCGCAAUGGAGGAAACUCUGACGCAGCCAUGCCGCGUGCAGGAUGAAUGCCCUAUGGGUUGUAAACUGCUUUUCUGCAAGAAGAAACCUUAGUACGUGUACUAAGCUGACGGUAUUGCAGGAAUAAGCACCGGCUAACUCCGUGCCAGCAGCCGCGGUAAUACGGAGGGUGCAAGCGUUAUCCGGAUUUAUUGGGUUUAAAGGGUCCGCAGGCGGAACUUUAAGUCAGUGGUGAAAGCCUACAGCUUAACUGUAGAACUGCCAUUGAUACUGAAGUUCUUGAGUGUGGUUGAAGUGGGCGGAAUAUGUCAUGUAGCGGUGAAAUGCAUAGAUAUGACAUGGAACACCAAUUGCGAAAGCAGCUCACUAAACCAUUACUGACGCUCAUGGACGAAAGUGUGGGUAGCGAACAGGAUUAGAUACCCUGGUAGUCCACACCGUAAACUAUGAUCACUAGAUGUUGGCGAUAUAAUGUCAGUGUUAAAGAGAAAUCGUUAAGUGAUCCACCUGGGGAGUACGUUCGCAAGAAUGAAACUCAAAGGAAUUGACGGGGGCCCGCACAAGCGGUGGAGCAUGUGGUUUAAUUCGAUGAUACGCGAGGAACCUUACCAAGGCUUAAAUGUAAAACGACCGGUUGAGAAAUCAAUCUUUUUUCGAACGAUUUACAAGGUGCUGCAUGGUUGUCGUCAGCUCGUGCCGUGAGGUGUCGGGUUAAGUCCCAUAACGAGCGCAACCCCUAUUUUUAGUUACCAGCGAGUAAUGUCGGGAACUCUAAAGAAACUGCCCGUGCAAACGGAGAGGAAGGUGGGGAUGACGUCAAAUCAUCACGGCCCUUAUGUCUUGGGCUACACACGUGCUACAAUGGUUAUUACAAUGAGAUGCAAACUGGUGACAGUAAGCUAAUCUAUAAAAAUAACCUCAGUUCGGAUCGGAGUCUGCAACUCGACUCUGUGAAGUUGGAAUCGCUAGUAAUCGCACAUCAGCCAUGGUGCGGUGAAUACGUUCCCGGGCCUUGUACACACCGCCCGUCAAGCCAUGGAAGUUUGGAAUACUUAAAGUCAGUCACUGAAAAGAACUGCCUAGGGUAAAACAAGUAACUAGGGCUAAGUCGUAACAAGGUAGCCGUACCGGAAGGUGUGGCUGGAAUACCUCCUUUUUAGA
rnacentral:rRNA from 1 species